GAUGAAGAACGUAGCGAAAUGCGAUAAGUAGUGUGAAUUGCAGAAUUCAGUGAAUCAUCGAAUCUUUGAACGCACAUUGCGCCCCCUGGUAUUCCGGGGGGCAUGCCUGUCCGAGCGUCAUUGCUGCCCUCAAGCACGGCUUGUGUGUUGGGCUUCCGUCCCUGGCAACGGGGACGGGCCCAAAAGGCAGUGGCGGCACCAUGUCUGGUCCUCGAGCGUAUGGGGCUUUGUCACCCGCUCCCGUAGGUCCAGCUGGCAGCUAGCCUCGCAACCAAUCUUUUUAACCAGGUUGACCUCGGAUCAGGUAGGGAUACCCGCUGAACUUAAGCAUAUCAAUAAGCGGAGGA
rnacentral:misc_RNA from 1 species